rnacentral:misc_RNA from 1 species
AAAGUCGUAACAAGGUUUUCGUAGGUGAACCUGCGGAAGGAUCAUUAGUGAAUCGUGGAUUCCUCUGCAAAGAGAAGGUCCAUUUUACACAUUUCACAAACACAUGUGCACUUGUUCUUUCCUUCUUUUAAACUUUUAAAAGGAAGUUAAUUCUUCCAUUUGAAAGUUUAGAUCAAGGAAUUUACUAUUUAAACACUUAUGUUAAUCUGUAAGAAAAAAGUCAAUGAUGUAAAUCUAUGAUAAAUGAAAAUAAAACUUUCAGCAAUGGAUCUCUUGGCUCUC